rnacentral:lncRNA from 1 species
UGGUCGGCCAUUGCGUUUGCUGCAUGAACAUCCUGCACGUAGUUGUUGUGCAAUUCUACGUAGGCGGCCAACGUCAACGUAUUAGGAGCGGCCAGAUGUUGUUGGGUGUCCAGGACAACCUGGGAUCGUAAAAAAAGAAAAUCUAUACAGCGGAUGGUCUAUAACUCUUGGCUUUGUGAACAAGUUGGGGCCCAAGGGCUCCUUCAAUUCCGCCACGUCAUCAUAGCCUCUGCUCAGUGUGAUGCAGUGGGCCUCAUACCGGAAAUUGAAUGUUGAUUCAGACCAUCCGAGCAUCGCCUGUAUACAUGCAGUCCUAUUUGCUACACCAGAUCCAUCAAGAUCAAUAAUGCAUUGUACACUAUACGUUCACAGAUCCUGCACUUUUACCACACCAAGUUCCCUGUGUAUUGUCUUACGUGUCUGGCAUUCUGAGCGACUAUAUCAAUUGGAUUUUUACCAGCCUUCUUCCAUCAGGACUCAUCCGUCACUUGCCACUCGGGAUUCUUCUUCCAAUCACACCUUGUCCAGUUGCUGUGACGCCUUUUCCAGGGCAUUUUCCAGCUGCUCCCGAUGUUGGAAUAUUUUGCGGGCCUCCAGUUUCCGGUGAAAAGUUCCGUCCGUCAUGGGUCGUGACACUUGGCGAUUCAGGCAGUUGGCAAUGUCGGCCACUACGGCCGAAUCCACCUCCACUUCCUGGAGGAGCGUCUCCCAGACUUGAAAGAUGCCGUAGUUCCCGUUGGGCCUGUUAAUUGCAAACACGACGCGUAUAAUAAUUAAAAAUGCGCGUUUCUCAAGGUAGUAUAAUCCAAUCAACUUCCAAGUCUCAGCCCGUGCACCUACAUCCAAUAUUCACGCCGAUCGAUCUAUGGCAAAGCUCAGCUACAGGGAUUUCGAGACGGGCGUUACUCUCAUAGCAAUCCCCGGGAAACCCACAAAUAUUUAAAAAGUUAUCUCUUGUACCAAGUCGAUGGUGGCGUGCCGCUCUUUCUCUUCGAUUGCGAUAUUAUUAUUGGUUUUGUGAUAUAGUAUCUCAAACGAUACACGAGUCUAUAGGUGCAUUAACUUUCGACGACUUUCGUGCAAUCAACCCCCACCCAAGAAAGACUGAACGUUGCACGAAAAGGCAACAGUCAAGUUGAAUGUCGAAUGUUUCGAGAAAACUGAAUCGACGAUCCUUUUAUUCCAAGUAAGACCGGUAUAAUAAUAGAAAAUCGAGUCGUUUAUUUGUUUAACAAGGGCCAAUAUUUUCCCGUUUGUUUUGUUCUGUCUGAAGAGGGGACAGGAGGAAAUAAGUGGACAGGGAGACGCAACUUAUAAUGAUACGACGUUUUUGCAGGGUUUUUUCUCCGGAUGAUGAGCGCGUCCAGUGGAUGUUUUGUUGCCAUGUUCACUUUCUCAAGAGUGGUGCCGUGUUGCUCAGGUCACGAACUGGCCAUUAUAAAGUCCCCGUCUCUCGACUUCCGCUGACGCACUUAUUAUAUAAGAAAUGCUGGCCAGACUGACAAUAAUCACGCCAACGUGACACACGCUGACCGGCACACUUUUCUCGUAUCCCCCCGUCGUCUACUAUAAAAAAGUUGGUCGUGUCAAAUUUCGUCCGACAUAAAUAGCCGAAUCGUGUCGAAUGUUCCAACUAAAAACAGUUGAGUUUGUCCGUGUCAUUUUUGUAUUGUUUGAUUGACGUCGAGAUAUAUCCCAGUAUAUCAUUAUGGUAGAUUCGAUAGGUCACUCAAUACUUGAGACAGCAGCGUCGUUAAACGCCAGCGACAGUUUUCUUUAACAAUUCAGCCAAGCAAGGAGGGGGGUCACUCGGGUAUAGAUGAACCUUCGCUGUCGACAGUGCACGCAGCUUUGAUUUGAAUAGAGCCGACAGAUCGGAACACACACACACGGAUCUACUGAAUUAUGGCGUUUGUAUCCACUUGUCAAGUCUCUGGUUCGAUGGUUGCCAUGGGAAUCGCACAACUUUGUUUAUCGUGUCGCCUCUAUCGAAAUGUUUGGCUCUUUCCUUUCAGCUGUUUCCCAUUCGUUUGUGUCUACCUCAUGUGUGUGUAUAUGCUAUAAUGGGAAACAAGGUUAUGCAUAGAUCUAUGUGAAGCUAGCUCUCAUUCGGAGCUCUAUAAAAAUAGGCAAUAACCCGUUACGCAAGGCGAUACGUAAACAGCAGCAGCUGCUGCUCUCGUUGGUGCUUCAACCACUCUCUCUCCUGUACAUUGUGUGUCACAGUGCAUUAGAAAACUAUCUUUCUCUCACUGUAAGUAUGCUGGGAAUGUUUUGAAGGAUCUCCCAAUCUUUUUGGCAAACAUAAAAUAAAAACAGCUUAUUUUUGGGUUGAUAUCCUUUAAUAUUAUACCUUUCUUUCCUCAGUUCGGCGUUCCUGAUGCGGAAUGUCUCGACUAGUUGCUGAAGCUGCUCGCCGUGCUGUUCCUCAAUGGUGGCCAAUUGCUGGGUGAAGUCGGAAACUGCCGUCGGUCACGCGGGUCGUCGUCCGAACAUUCCACACGCCGCCGGCGUGAAUAUGGAUCCGCACGUGAAAGGGAGAGAGAGAGAACAAAAGAGAAAGACAAUCAAAGAUAACUUUGCCUCCUCCUGCCUUUUGUGGGUCCUCCCCCCGUAACAUACUACGCACAGAUCUCGUCAUCACAGAGUGACGUCACCUGUCAUUACCAUCACGCGAGUAUUUUACAUCACCAGACUGGCGUGCUGAUUCAUCCAGGAAGAAUUUGUUCGCCU